CAUAGUGAAUAAGUGCAAGCAAUUAGAAACCAGAGAACCUGAGCUUCAACACCGGAGAACAGAACACUUUGUUCUAUAACAUUCAACUGAGAAGUCGAGAGUAUGACGAGAACGACUAAGAAACGCCAACUGAGAAGCCGUGAAAGAUGAGGACUCGAUCAUAUCUAGAUCUUCAGCUUUUCACCUUCAGAAUCAAACAUGCAAAUGAUCGGAUGAAACACUGGAGAUGGAAGAAACAAAAAGCUAAACCUGACUCCAAC
rnacentral:lncRNA from 1 species